CUUACUUUCUCCCUAUUUAUCCACCAUCCUACUCCAUCCCUCAUGAGAGAUACUAAGUCCCACGCAGCAGUAACUCCAGCUAUAUCUACGGGAACGAAAUUCUUGAAGUUCCCGUAGCUAUUGAACCCAUAGUGCAAUCAAACCAUCAGUCAUCUGACCGAUGCCUUCCACUGGAUUACCGGUUAACCCCUCUAAAAAUUAUGAUUAUAGUUAUAACCAUUUAGGUUUGUUCACUGGUUUGGACUUUUAGGAUUCACUUGGCAUGGGUUCAAACCUCACCAGGUCUGUGGUUUGUUUGCAAUCGUGUUGUUAUGACAUCGUCAGCCAUAGUGCAAUACUUGACGAUACCCUCAUCGCCUUACUGAAAUCUCUAGGCUCAGACUGGCAAUUCUCAUUACGUUAUGUAUCCAAUUUUGCUCAAUUGGAAAAUACAACUUCUUCCAUCAUUCCUCACUAUCUUCCAUCUCUGCACCUUCUCCCUCAAUCAAGAUGGGAUACGCAGUAAGAUAUUCUUCAUGAUUAUCAAUAGUAAACGAAACCAACAAGCAAAAUAAAACAUUAGUUUUAAAAUUUACAGAGAGCACUAGGACCAAAAGGUCAAUUAGUGGUCUAUGAAUAAAAGAUUCUACACUCGCCUGUACACGGACACACACUACCACAACCCCCCGUCACCGCCUCUAAAGAAAAAAAAAACAUGCUAACAAACUAAUAUAUACUGUCAUUAGUCAGUACCUGACCAGCCGGGCUGUGGUUCGAACGUCGGGUUGCGUGCGGCCAACGGUAACAGCCUGGUUGAUUAGCCCUGAUCCACCAUGAGGCCUGGUCACAGACUCGGCCGCGGGGGCGUUGACCUCCGAAACCCUCUCCAGGUAUAUCCAGAUGACAUGGUUCGUUUGGGAGAUUCUGAAGAGAAGUUCCAAAGGCUGGUAGAGGGAUUUAGGAAGUCCAGUCUGUGAUCAAGUUUCCCUGGUGGCUGACCAGCCAGGCUCUUGUUACAUGCAACUUGCAAGUCUACACGACCAUUACUGCCCAUCUGAUUAGGGGUCUUGAUGUGGAUAUUUGGAGCUCCUCACUCACAAUCACCUGCUUGCAAGGAUCCUACUCCUGUGUUGACCGCGGGGUCAACGCCCCGCCUGUGACCAGGCCUCGGGCUGGCUCAGGGCUUGAUCAACCAAGUUGUUACUGGCGUACGAGCUACAGCCGGCUGGUCAAGUACUGACUGUAAACUUUACCAGAUGGACAACUGUCACCAGAAACAACUCAAAAUGUUCAAGAAAUGCCAAAAUAUUUUAUCCACACUGGUGUAUUACCAUCCAUUCUGAAAAAAAAUAAAUACCCUGACCUUACUGUCUUUAAAUAAUG